GGAAGCGACGAUAGGCCCAGUUUUAAGUUUAGCGGUUGCAACAUUGUGCAUUUGAGCUUCUCAAGAUAAGUCACCAAUGGCAGCUGGGUUAGCUUUAUCCAUAGCAGUAACUCCAAAAUUGAGGUUAAAUUCCCACCAAAAUCAAUCUUCUGCACAAAAGGGAGGGAAUAUUGAUCCACGUAUUAAUUACAGAGAUUGUGCUUCACUGAUACAGGGGUUAAGUAAGAAAAAAUUGCCUGUUGCUGCUGAAAGGCUAGUCCUUGAAAUGAAAUCUGAGGGUUUUGUACCUGAUAGCUCUACCUUGUCAGCAUUGAUGCUAUGCUAUGCUACUAAUGGUUUAUUUUGCAAAGCAUUAGCCGCUUGGGAUGAAAUUAUGAACAGUUCAUUUCUGCCGGAUGUUCAUGUAAUUGCAGAACUGAUUGAUAUCUACGGUUGCAAAGGAUAUUUAGAUGUUGCUGUCAGAAUAUUGCAUCAGAUUCAGUUGAAAGAUUCCAACCUGCUUCGUGAUGUUUAUGCUCAGGCUAUCUCUCGUUUUGGAAAGAAAGGGCAGCUUGAAUUGAUGGAAGUUAUGUUGAAAGAGAUGGUUUCCAUGGGGUUCCCUGUUGACUCUACGACUGGAAAUGCCUAUGUUAUUUACUAUAGCAAUUUUGGCACGCUGAGUGAAAUGGAAGUUGCAUAUGGUCGUCUUAAGAUGUCAAGAAUUCUUAUAGAGGAAGAAGCAAUCAGUUCGAUAUCCUUGGCUUAUCUCAAGAAAGAGAAGUUUUAUAGUUUAGGUCAGUUUGUAAGAGAUGUCGGUCUUUGUAGGAGAAAUGUGGGGAAUCUACUGUGGAACCUGUUACUUCUUUCUUAUGCUGCCAACUUCAAAAUGAAAAGUUUGCAGAGAGAAUUUGUGAGAAUGGUAGAAAGUGGCUUUUUUCCUGAUCUUAAUACUUUCAAUAUUAGAGCUUUGGCAUUUUCAAAGAUGUCUUUAUUUUGGGAUCUGCAUGUAACCCUUGAACAUAUGAAACAUGAGAAGGUAGUUCCUGAUCUUGUGACUUACGGUUCUGUUGUUGAUGCAUACUUAGAUAGAGGUCUGGGACGAAAUUUGGAUUUUGCUUUAAGGAAAUUGAAUAUAAAUGAUUGUGUUACAGUAGCAACAGAACCACUCGUAUUUGAGGCCAUGGGGAAAGGGGAUUUCCACUUAAGCUCGGAGGCACGUUUAGAGUUCAGUAAGAAAAAGAAUUGGACAUAUGAAGAGCUUAUUGCCACCUAUCUCAAGAAAUACUUCCGCCGUAAUCAAAUCUUUUGGAACUAUUGAAGAUGAAAAAUUUCUGAGCUGGAAGUUCUGUGCAAUUGCUUUGUGCUCAGUUAUUUGAACAAAUUCUCUCGACGAGGCUGGGAACUUUUCCUUAGCGUUUUGGGCAUUCCAUGGGUGAUGUCGAAAGUUAUAAGGGUCUAUUAGUCAUUAGAAAGAUGGCAUGUUCAAAGGGUUCCUAGUAGGCUGAAACAGAUAUGGAAGACUAUCCCUCUCUGCAUUUCUUGGAUAAUAUAGCUGGAAAAAAACAACGUUUUGUUUGAAGGACAUAGAGAUCACAUUUCUAGAGUUAAAAAUAAAUGUAGAUCUGUACUUCUGGUGUAAUAACAAUAUGUUAGUUAAUCUAGAUUAGUACAUGGAUUUUCUGAAAUUGUUAGGUAGAAAAGAGUAGCAGAUUGUGUGGUUGGGUUUUGUUUGGAUUCUUGUAUCCUUCUUGGUACUGUUUCAAUAAUACUUUUA